rnacentral:rRNA from 1 species
AACCUCGUCCUUUGUGGUGGGAUAGCCGCCACGCGGGUAAUACCGCAUACGUUCUCGACAAGGAGUCUUGUUGAGAGGAAACCUCCGGGGCACAAAGAGGGGCUCGCGGCCUAUCAGCUAGUUGGCGGGGUAAUGGCCCACCAAGGCGACGACGGGUAGCUGGUCUGAGAGGAUGGCCAGCCACAUUGGGACUGAGAGACGGCCCAG